CUUUAACGCUGCUUUAACCCUAGACUGUUUUAAGGCCUUUUUUUACUACCUUUAGUUAUAAGCAUUUAUUAUAGUCAUUGUAAGUGCCA